CUCGUGUCUUCCAGUGCAGAGAGUGGGGAAAAGUCCUUCAGAAAAAGCCUCCUGCAUCCCUGUUAAUUCAUUUGCCUGGAAGAAAGUAUUAAAUCAAGCUUCGAUUUUCUGUAAUCAUGACUUUCAGUGGCACAUUUCUCAAGCACAUGCACAAGUGACUGUGAUAUUAGGUGCCACGGUCUGAACAUGUGAUUCGUGAAGGGGGCAGAGCCUUCUUGGAUAGGAUUAGCACUCUUACAGAAGAGGCCCCAGAGAGACCCCCAAUUCCUUCCACCACACAAGGACACAGUGAGAAGAUGGCUGUCUAUGAACAAGGAAGUGGGUCUUCACCAGACAUGGAAUCUGCCAGCACCUUGACCCUGGACUUUCCAGCCUCCUGAACUAAUCUAGAUCUACCAACAAGCAGCGGGAGGUGCCUGACUGCACAGCAGGUUCUGAUGAAAUGGAGGGUUUUUAAAACCAGACAGUCUGCACAUCCACCGCUUAACCAACUUGUCCCCUCGGGCAAGUCGUUUAAUCUCUCAGAGCCCCACGUAAAAAAGGAAACAAUAAUAGAACAGUUUUUUUAAAGCUGCUGAGAAAAUUAAAAGAGGUUUGGUGAGGUGGGCCUGAGGGAGUUUUUUUCCCUUUGAAGAUACAUGGUUCUGCAAAAAUUGAAGGUAAAUAUGUAAGAAACAUCAGGGAGUUUUAGGCCAAAGGCAGAGAAAGUGAAAAUUUUCAGGCUUAAGGACAGCGGGAAAAUGUAGUGCAAAAAAAACAAAAAAUAUUUUCAAGGUGAGGGUGGAGGCAGCAGGACGUACAGAGCUGGUUGAUGGAGACAAGGAUGUGGAGAAUUCAGGGAUGAAAAAUAGUCGUAUGUGACAAAGGAAGAAAAUCAGUUAAUAUGGCUCUACCCUCUUUCUUCAUCCUGUAUGUUGACUCUUUCUUCCUGGAGCACCUCAUGGACUCUAUAAAGUUCUAGCUCAGCUUAAUAAAAGAACAUGAAUCAUUCUGGGAAGAGAACUGGGUGGCUGUAAAAGGUGUAACUACAACAAGGUAAAUGCUGGGCAGAACAGAAAUUUAGAUAAACAUGAUUGGCAGAGAUAUUAUUUUAAUAAUUAAUUUGCGUUGGCCUCAUUAAAAAAGGAAAUAGCGUUUGAGGAACACUACGUUAGACGAGCCAAGAAUCAGAGAGGAGACUCACAAAAUGUAAAAUUGUACUAAACCGUUCUACAGAAAGGUAUGGGUUUUCUUCUGAAGUUGUUGGUCAGACCCACAAGCACUGCCUGUAGUACUGAUAUGAUGUCAGGAAAGCUCCCCAUGAAAACAUCACCCGCUAGACAAAGAUUGUGUAGGGUAGAAAACCCUGAGGUUACAUGAGUUUUUAUCAUAUUGAAAAAGCCCUGCUGAUUAUCUUUUCAUGGUCCCAGAAGUUAUGAGAUCUUAAAAAGCCCCCUAAUUUCUAUUCAAUUCAAAUACCUAAAAAUUAAGGAGCCCUAGCAAAACCUCUGAACACUAUGUUCUUUUCUUAUACCAACUGUCAUUUCCAACUGACAAUCCUUUUCAAAUCUCAUUAAAGGGAAGCUUAUUAGCUAACUUCCUAGACUCGACAGCAUGGUUAGUAGUUCUGGGUAGUGCUGAAAAAUGACAAAUAAGGUGGUAUGCCAAAAUCUGCCACUGUGUUGACCAUGGUAAGCAAACUGUGUGGAAUCAAACUUUCUGAGAAAAAUAAUUCAGAGGCCUGGAAACUUCUACAGGCCACUUGGUUAUAAAUGUGCGCAGGUUGGUGAGGUACAGGCUUCUCCAUCUGCACUGUGGAGAAGCCAGCCCACUAAUUUAUUCAUAUGUAUAUUCCUAUA
rnacentral:lncRNA from 10 species